ensembl:snRNA U6 U6 spliceosomal RNA
CAGCACAUAUUCUAAAAAAAACAAAUUGGAACGAUACAGAGAAGGUUAGCAUGGCCCCUGCGCAAGGGUGACAUGCAAAUUCACGAAGUGUUCCACUAAAAA